rnacentral:lncRNA from 1 species
AUCACUGGAAUUCUUCACAUAGAACUGCCAUUCACAUUACAGUGUUUCACACAAAUAAAGACUCAUUCUCUCUACUGAACUACAAUCAGAUUUCAGCAUUCAAUCUUUCUUCUUCUCAAAUAAUAUCAAUCACAUUUCCAUUCCAUAAUUCACUUCACAAUAUUUAGAAAUUCUCAAUCCUCUUAUUCAAAGAAAAUAACAAACAAAAGAAAAGAGGUAGCACCAAGCUUACCUCGGCUCACACUAUCA